GCUUACGGCCAUACCAGCCUGGGUACGCCCGAUCUCGUCUGAUCUCGGAAGCUAAGCAGGGUCGGGCCUGGUUAGUACCUGGAUGGGAGACCGCCUGGGAAUACCAGGUGCUGUAAGAA
rnacentral:rRNA from 1 species